UUUGUACAACGCGCCAAAGUUCACUCAACAAGACACGCGUGAUUAUUCGGGCUACAGACCCUGAUGGAUAAAAGAUGGAUAUUUUUUUCCUGGAGAAGCUAAAACAAUGUCACUUUGAGGUUCUGAUACCAGCUUUUACAAAGUUAUUUACAGAGUUCACAAGACUUCUCUGUGUUAUUCCCUGACCAUGCCGAAAAGCUAUUUGAAACUUGGGCACUGCAUUUUACAGACAGAAUCCUGCAACUUCCCAGCCAAGAACCAGGAGCAUCAACAAAUCACCUACAGAACCCCAUGAUGAUAUUCCAACUCCUGUCUACAAAAGUGGGAAGAAAUUCUUAAGUUUAUGUUGGGACCAACAUGGUUGCAUUCUUCUGAGAGGCUGAGGUGACAAAACCAUUCCCAUUUGUCCUUGGAUUGGAAGAUGACGAUCUCUGCCAUCAAGCCUUCGUUGUUUUUGACAGACAGUCACUCCAGCAAUACACCCUCCUUGGUGAUGUUGACAUGUUUUAAACUUUUUUUUAUGUUUUGGACAUUAAUUUUACUAAGCAGUGCACAUCAAUGUGGGUGUUUUUGAAGACUGUUGUUUACAAACUCCCAAGAACGGAAUCCCUUUCUAUAAGAAGUCUGUGUAGUUAUUUGUCAUGCUAAGGUGAUAACUCAUGUUGAUCAUAUAUUGACUGUUUGUGCAACUUAGUGUUGAUCUUAUGUGUUACAUUAACCAUUUCUUAUUACACGGUUCUCUAAAAUGCUAGUUUCUGAUUGGCCAGUCGUGACAUUCUACUACUGCUCAAAACUAAAAACUCCAAUGCUGCAAAUCAUUUUGACAGGUACAGUUUUAUAUUACACAAAAAUUAAAUAUCAAUGUCUAUUAAUAACAUAUCCGACAUUAAAUUUACAAAUGAUUAAACCAAUGUGUUUGUGACAUUUGUCCUGAAGAAACUGUUGGGGCUUUUUUCUGUGAUGACAUGCUGCCAAUACAUUAUCCCUUACUUGUACAACUUUUUACUUGAUCUAAUUGUAAUGUUAACCGGGUAUCUGUCAUUUUAGAUUGUGAGAUAUAAUACUAAUAUAUUUUUUUAUUAGAAAGUUGAUUGUUUGUGUAGGGCUAUGUACUCUUUUAUUGUUCAUGUGCAAUAAAUAUGCUUUUUCAAUUAAAUCUAUGCUUUGUUAUUUAUAGACACCACAAUGAAAGGUAUGAAAGCAAUUUAAACCACAAAAUUUCAGCUUUAA